rnacentral:rRNA from 1 species
AUUGAACGCUGGCGGCAGGCCUAACACAUGCAAGUCGAGCGGAUGAAGGGAGCUUGCUCCUGGCUUCAGCGGCGGACGGGUGAGUAAUGCCUAGGAAUCUGCCUGGUAGUGGGGGAUAACGUCAGGAAACGGGCGCUAAUACCGCAUACGUCCUGAGGGAGAACGUGGUGGAUCUUCAGACCUCAACCUACUAGCUGACCCUCGGUCGUAUUACCUAGUUGCUGGGGUAAAGGCCUACCAAGGCGACGAUCCAAACCGGCCCUGCGAGGAUGAUCAGUCACACUGGAACGGAGACAGGGUCCAAAUCCCUAGGGGGGGCAGCAGUGGGGAAUAUUGGAAAAUGGGCGAAAGCCUGAGCCAGCCAGGCGGCGGGGGUGAAGAAGGUCUUCGGAUGGUAAAGCACUUUAAGUGGGGAGGAAAGGCAGUAAGUUAAUACCGCACUGCUUUGACGUUACUAACAGAAUAAGCACCGCCUAACUUCGG